rnacentral:rRNA from 1 species
AUUGAACGCUGGCGGCAUGCUUUACACAUGCAAGUCGAACGGUAACGCGGGCUUCGGCCUGGCGACGAGUGGCGAACGGGUGAGUACAACAUCGGAACGUAUCUUUUAGUGGGGGAUAGCCCGGCGAAAGCCGGAUUAAUACCGCAUAAGCUCUUGGGAGGAAAGCGGGGGACUUCCGGGCCUCGCGCUGAUGGAGCGGCCGAUGCCGGAUUAGCUAGUUGGUAGGGUAAAGGCCUACCAAGGCGACGAUCCGUAGCUGGUCUGAGAGGAUGAUCAGCCACACUGGAACUGAGACACGGUCCAGACUCCUACGGGAGGCAGCAGUGGGGAAUUUUGGACAAUGGGGGCAACCCUGAUCCAGCCAUGCCGCGUGCGGGAAGAAGGCCUUCGGGUUGUAAACCGCUUUCAUACGGAACGAAAUGGUGCAGGCCAAUACCCUGUAUUGAUGACGGUACCGUAAGAAGAAGCACCGGCUAACUACGUGCCAGCAGCCGCGGUAAUACGUAGGGUGCGAGCGUUAAUCGGAAUUACUGGGCGUAAAGCGUGCGCAGGCGGCUCCUUAAGACAGGUGUGAAAUCCCCGGGCUUAACCUGGGAAUUGCGCUUGUGACUGGGGAGCUGA